rnacentral:rRNA from 1 species
UACGAACUGUGCAAACGUUAUUCGGAAUCACUGGGCUUAAAGGGUGCGUAGGCGGCUUGUUAAGUAGGGUGUGAAAUCCCCCGGCUCAACCGGGGAAUUGCGCUCUAAACUGGCGAGCUGGAGUGAGAUAGGGGUGUGUGGAACUUCCGGUGGAGCGGUGAAAUGUGUUGAUAUCGGAAGGAACGCCAGUGGCGAAAGCGACACACUGGGUCUCAACUGACGCUGAGGCACGAAAGCCAGGGGAGCAAACGGG